GUAUUGGCCUACCGUGGCAAUGACGGGUAACGGGGAAUUAGGGUUCGAUUCCGGAGAGGGAGCCUGAGAAACGGCUACCACAUCUAAGGAAGGCAGCAGGCGCGCAAAUUACCCAAUCCUAAUACAGGGAGGUAGUGACAAGAAAUAACAAUACAGGACUUUUUGGUUUUGUAAUUGGAAUGAGUUAAGUAUAAACCCCUUUACAAGUAUCAAUUGGAGGGCAAGUCUGGUGCCGGCAGCCGCGGUAAUUCCAGCUCCAAUAGCGUAUAUUAAAGUUGUUGCAGUUAAAAAGCUCGUAGUUGGAUUUCUGUUAAUAAUUUAUAUAAAAUAUUUUGAUGAAUAUUUAUAUAAUAUUAACAUAAUUCAUAUUACUAUAUAUUUUAGUAUAUGAAAUUUUACUUUGAGAAAAUUAGAGUGCUUAAAGCAGGCAUAUGCCUUGAAUACUCCAGCAUGGAAUAAUAUUAAAGAUUUUUAUCUUUCUUAUUGGUUCUAAGAUAAGAAUAAUGAUUAAUAGGGACAGUUGGGGGCAUUUGUAUUUAA
rnacentral:rRNA from 1 species